rnacentral:rRNA from 1 species
UACGUAGGGACCAAGCGUUGUUCGGAUUUACUGGGCGUAAAGGGCGCGUAGGCGGCGCGGUAAGUCACUUGUGAAAUUUCUGAGCUUAACUCAGAACGGCCAAGUGAUACUGCAGUGCUAGAGUGUGGAAGGGGCAAUCGGAAUUCUUGGUGUAGCGGUGAAAUGCGUAGAUAUCAAGAGGAACACCUGAGGUGAAGACGGGUUGCUGGGCCAACACUGACGCUGAGGCGCGAAAGCCAGGGGAGCAAACGGG